rnacentral:tRNA from 1 species
GGCCUUGUGCCGGAAUUGGUAGACGGACCAGACUUAAAAUCUGUUGAAGUUUAUCUUCGUGCGGGUUCAAGUCCCGCCAAGGCCACCA